AAGGUUUUAAGUUAAUUUAAACUAAUAGCCUUCAAAGCUAUAAAUAAAAUACAAAUUUUAAGCCUUA
rnacentral:tRNA from 1 species